rnacentral:rRNA from 1 species
GAUGAACGCUGGCGGCGUGCCUAAUACAUGCAAGUCGAGCGAACGGACGAGAAGCUUGCUUCUCUGAUGUUAGCGGCGGACGGGUGAGUAACACGUGGAUAACCUGCCUAUAAGACUGGGAUAACUUCGGGAAACCGGAGCUAAUACCGGAUGAUAUUUUGAACCGCAUGGUUCAAAAGUGAAAGACGGUCUUGCUGUCACUUAUAGAUGGAUCCGCGCUGCAUUAGCUAGUUGGUAAGGUAACGGCUUACCAAGGCAACGAUGCAUAGCCGACCUGAGAGGGUGAUCGGCCACACUGGAACGUAGACACGGUCCAGACUCCUACGGGAGGCAGCAGUAGGGAAUCUUCCGCAAUGGGCGAAAGCCUGACGGAGCAACGCCGCGUGAGUGAUGAAGGUCUUCGGAUCGUAAAACUCUGUUAUUAGGGAAGAACAUAUGUGUAAGUAACUGUGCACAUCUUGACGGUACCUAAUCAGAAAGCCACGGCUAACUACGUG